CCUCGCUAUUCGCCCUCCUAUAAUCACUGCUUCCAUGUUGAAUCAAAACAAUUAUGCUUUCGUUCUCCCUUCUUCAAUUGCCCUAUCUUCACACCUGAACACUAUUGCUCCGGUAUCCUGCCAUUUUGGAUCAGGGCGGUUGACGGUGGAUUCACUUCCCAUCAGCCCUUGAGGCUGCAGGGACCAGCCCUUUGUGGAGAAGCCCAGGCGGCCUAGAAUCCAGUGUCGUCCGUGAGUGCUUGGCUGGUGUUCAAGUGCAUCUUCCAGCCUGAGACCGCGUGGACUCGCUCAUCGUGAGGGCGAGAGGAGGAUAAGCCCAUUGGGCUGUCGGCUGAGAGUGAGGUGCGGGACCAUCCACAAUAUUGUUUGAACAUCUGAAGACAUGGGGAACUUGCCAUCUGAUAUCUGAUAACAGACUUCCUGUAAAGCAGGACUGGUAGUUUCCUGAUAACAAAUUCUUCAAUAUGAAGGUAUGGAUAAAGCAUUUGGCUGCCAAUAAUGAACUGCACCAAAGUCACCAAUUCAAACCAUGC
rnacentral:lncRNA from 1 species